rnacentral:lncRNA from 1 species
GUGAUUGGAUUGGAUUUGGACUUCUGAAAAUUCGGAUUUCUGUUUGCUGUCCAUUUUCCCGCUCUGCUGUAAUUUUCUGCUGUCAAAGUGAUUUGCCCGGCGAUUUGACCAGUUUCUUCAAGUGAUUGGGCAAAUCACGGGGCAAAUCGCUUCUCUGUGAGUCAGUCCUCUAUGCCUUUGUGAGUGCUUUGGCCAGUGAUCUUCGAUUGUUGUGGUCAAAUCACCUGCCCAUAUCACUGCUGUCUGUUGCUUCUGGGUAUUUGCUUUAGCUUGAUCUGGGCAGUGAUUGGAGCAGAUUUUUGGGCAAAUCACUGGGCAAACCAUCCUUUUGUAAAUUUUUUGCACUUUUUCUUCCA